GCUGACAUCAUUGAAAUACCUUCAGAACCCCCGCUUUCAGAUGUGAAGCCUCUGCAACGUAUAAAUAGAUGGAGACACAAUAUCAUCAUCAGCCUUGUGUGUGUGGGUGUCAAUCAAAACCUCAACGGGACCAGUGGCGUUACUCCGACAAUCUCUAUCUACAGUCUCAGGAAGUCGGGAAAAAUGGUGGAUAAUCUUACCUUAAAGGCCUGAGAGCUCUCAAAAGACGGAAAACUCUUAAAAUUCCAAGAAGUUUUGAUCCAGAACUAUACGUGAGGGUCAUUAUGACAUCAAUGAGUGAACUCGCGACAAGAAAGAAGUCAAGUACGUUCCAACCACUAAAAUGGCGUUACCUCAUUUUGGGAACUACCACAACAACAUAGACAUCUUCUAAAACGUGAUGUAUUUUCGACUUCUACUUCUGCUGUUGGCUCAAAUAUACAAGGGUUGACUUCAUACUCAGCACAUGAACAAUUCAACUCAGAUGUUACAAAACUUUGGGGGCAGGGACUGGUUUUACCAAGGACCUCAACUGGGUUGGCAACUGAUGGUCUGCGAUCUGAACAUAAGCUGGGACUUCUUUGUCCAACACCAGACCCAGAUACCGAGUGUAGGGAGGUAGAAAGACCAGGCGUGGGAAUGGGAACUGUCAGCCUGGAUAAUAAAGGUCGCGCAACGAGCCAAAAGCCACUGGAAAAGCUUCCAGCUCAAUCGAAAAGUUGAUUGAUUACACCACAACACCCACUAUAACAUGGCACGAAAAUGACAUUUGGCUUCUUGAAGCUGAUUGGACUAUAGAAGAAGCUUCUGUAGUCUCAAACCAGAAGCCGCUCAAGGAGAAAAAGUUCCUUACCUGGUGUCUGGGGUGGUGGAAAGAAUUUAAAGAGCGCACGAUUGGGCUAAGACAAUCCUUUUGCGUAUUGGAUUUCUGGUCAACGUACGAAGGGACCGGGCUCGUGUAUAUACGUCAUAGUCGAGACGAUAGCGUACGUCAUAGUCGAGAUCGCGUACGUCAUUGGCGGAGCGAAAAGCAUUUGAUUUUAACAAAUACCUCGUGUCAUGGGGUGUCUUGGAGACACUAAUUACUU